UCUCAGCAAGUUUCCAUUCGUGACUUGCUCACGCAUUUUAUUCCCCUUUACUCCCCAGUGAGUUCCCAAAGUCUCUGCCCCAUUUAUGAGUGUAUCACUCGUAUGGAUUUUCAGUUUCUCCUGAUUUCUUUUUUCCUUUGUGGACAUAUAUCCCCACAAAGCAUUAACUUUUGCAUACAUACAUUUGCAUCAUGAGGUCUCUUAGGGACCAAAAUUCGUCUCUUUGUUAUUAUUU
rnacentral:lncRNA from 1 species